rnacentral:rRNA from 1 species
UGGGGAAUUUUGGACAAUGGGGGAAACCCUGAUCCAGCCAUCCCGCGUGGGCGAUGAAGGCCUUCGGGUUGUAAAGCACUUUUGGCAGGAAAGAAACGUCAUGGGUUAAUACCCCGUGAAACUGACGGUACCUGCAGAAUAAGCACCGGCUAACUACGUGCCAGCAGCCGCGGUAAUACGUAGGGUGCAAGCGUUAAUCGGAAUUACUGGGCGUAAAGCGUGCGCAGGCGGUUCGGAAAGAAAGAUGUGAAAUCCCAGAGCUCAACUUUGGAACUGCAUUUUUAACUACCGGGCUAGAGUGUGUCAGAGGGAGGUGGAAUUCCGCGUGUAGCAGUGAAAUGCGUAGAUAUGCGGAGGAACACCGAUGGCGAAGGCAGCCUCCUGGGAUAACACUGACGCUCAUGCACGAAAGCGUGGGGAGCAAACAGG